UUACCAUGAAACUCUACAGUCAUUCUAUCCCUAAUCUGUUCAUAUGUCAUGCAUCAACAUUUUUGUAAGGUGACAGACAGCAGAGAGGCUGGAGGAGAUUAAAGACAGUGCAGAGAAGGUAGAGGAAGAGAGGCAGGAAGAGAAAGAGGAGCAGAGGCUGAAGGGGAGGAUGGAGGAGGUAGAGGAGGGGAAUCCACAGCUGGAGGAGAUGGAGAAGCGGAAAGAGAGGUUGGAAAUUCACAGCUUUCCAUGGAAAAGGGACCUGAAUCACCAAAGUCAUCACUGCAGUAAAACCUGAUGUGGAUGAAGGGCUCUGAAUUGAGGAGUUUCACAUGAAAUGUCUUUGGAAAACGUCUGAAAAAGCUUCUUUCCUCUGACAGUUUUUAUCACUCAUGUUUUUGUUUUCCAUGCAGCCCUACUGUGAAGCAGUCGGUCUCCUCAGUUCCUAAAUGUUUACAGAGUGUUAUUAAAAGUAGAAGUGAUGCUGCACAGUGGUAAACAUGCCCCUGUCCCAACUCUUUUGAAACAUGUUGCUGACAUCAAAUUCAAAAGGAGCAUAUAGUUUUCAAAAAACAAUAAAAUUUCUCAGUUUCAAUA